UACGUAGGGUGCUAGCGUUGUUCGGAAUCAUUGGGCGUAAAGCGCGUGUAGGCGGUCAAUUAAGUCGGGUGUGAAAUCCCUCGGCUCAACCGGGGAAGUGCAUUCGAAACUAAUUGGCUGGAGAGUGGUAGAGGAAGGUGGAAUUCCAAGUGUAGAGGUGAAAUUCGUAGAUAUUUGGAGGAAUACCGGCGGCGAAGGCGGCCUUCUGGACCAUUUCUGACGCUGAGACGCGAAAGCGUGGGGAGCAAACAGG
rnacentral:rRNA from 1 species